GACAGAGGGUGCAAACGUUGUUCGGAAUUACUGGGCGUAAAGCGAGUGUAGGCGGUUCGGUAAGUCGGAUGUGAAAGCCCCGGGCUCAACCCGGGAAGUGCAUUGGAUACUGGGAGACUUGAAUACGGGAGAGGGUAGUGGAAUUCCUAGUGUAGGAGUGAAAUCCGUAGAUAUUAGGAGGAACACCGGUGGCGAAGGCGGCUACCUGGACCGAUAUUGACGCUGAGACGCGAAAGCGUGGGGAGCAAACAGG
rnacentral:rRNA from 1 species